CGAGAAACGGCUACCACUUCCAAGGAAGGCAGCAGGCGCGCAACUUACCCUAAUCUCGAUUCGAGGAGGUAGUGACAAGAAAUACCGAUGCGGGACCCUACGGGUGCCGCGUUCGGAAUGAGUACGAUUCGAACCACCUAACGAGGAACGAUCGGAGGGCAAGUCUGGUGCCAGCAGCCGCGGUAAUUCCAGCUCCAAUAGCGUACGUUAAAGUUGCUGCAGUUAAAAAAGCUCGUAGUUGAACGUUCGGGUUCCGCGGGACGGGGCCGCCCCGCGAGGGACGGCGCCGCCCCCGGGGCUCGUGAUAUCUCAUCUCGCCGCCCGUCGCGAGGCGGACGGAGGGGAUGGAUGAGGUUACCUGGAAAAAAUACGGGGCGGAUCUAGGCGGGCGAACCUCGCCAACGAACGAUCGGACAUGGGAUAACGGAAGAGGGCGGUCGGCUCGACUUCGUCGGUUCCUCGGGCCGAGGCACGUACGGUG
rnacentral:rRNA from 1 species